UUCCCUCGUCCCCGGUAACACAGCACCCAGCGCCUUCAAGUUUCAGAUUCCAGCCGAAACAUCAACGUCAACACCCGUUAAACUAUUGGAUUAAGCACUAUUCGGCCUUCUCCUUCUCUGAGCUACUUUGCUACGUACAAACGCCAACUCUCACUCCACAGCCCUCCAAUCACAGCUCCGGCAAAUGGGUUUUCUCCCUUCAGACGAAUUUUCAACUCUUACCUCCAAUCAUAUUCUGCAACUACGGGUGCUGGCUCACCUUGUGAGCAAUCAGGAAUCAUAUUUAUAGGUACUGGUACUAGUGAAGGAAUUCCCCGAGUCAGCUGCCUGACAAAUCCUUUAAAGAUGUGCGAGGAAUUAUAACAUACUUAUAGAUGCUGGAAAGUUUUUCUAUUCUACCACAGUGCUCUCCAAUGGUUUACUGCCUACGGGAAACUUCAAGAUCAAACUUUCAGACGUUGAUAUUGAGGACUGAUUUCUUGUGGUCUAUGAAAGUUUGGUGUUUUGGUACUGUAAUACCACUCUCAUGUAUUCCCUAGAUAUUGAGGACUGAUUUCUUGUGGUAUAUAAAUAAUUGUAUUAGUUUUUUAUAUACAAAAGAAUUGUAUUAUUAAUUAUUUAAAUAAAAUUUAUAUAUAUUUUGUACAAGGAUAUUUUAGUUAUCAAACUAGUUUUGAUUC